GUAGGGUCCAAGCGUUAAUCGGAAUUACUGGGCGUAAAGCGUGCGCAGGCGGUUGUGCAAGACCGAUGUGAAAUCCCCGGGCUUAACCUGGGAAUUGCAUUGGUGACUGCACGGCUAGAGUGUGUCAGAGGGGGGUAGAAUUCCACGUGUAGCAGUGAAAUGCGUAGAGAUGUGGAGGAAUACCGAUGGCGAAGGCAGCCCCCUGGGAUAACACUGACGCUCAUGCACGAAAGCGUGGGGGGAGCAAACAGGAUUAGAUACCCUGGUAGUCCACGCCCCUAAACGAUGUCAACUAGUUGUUGGGGAUUCAUUUCCUUAGUAACGUAGCUAACGCGUGAAGUUGACCGCCUGGGAGCACGGUCGCAAGAUUA
rnacentral:rRNA from 1 species